GAUGAAGAACGUAGCGAAAUGCGAUAAGUAAAGUGAAUUGCAGAAUUCAGUGAAUCAUCGAAUCUUUGAACGCACAUUGCGCCCCCUGGUAUUCCGGGGGGCAUGCCUGUUCGAGCGUCAUUUCACCACUCAAGCCUCGCUUGGUAUUGGGCAACGCGGUCCGCCGCGUGCCUCAAAUCGACCGGCUGGGUCUUCUGUCCCCUAAGCGUUGUGGAAACUAUUCGCUAAAGGGUGUUCGGGAGGCUACGCCGUAAAACAACCCCAUUUCUAAGGUUGACCUCGGAUCAGGUAGGGAUACCCGCUGAACUUAAGCAUAUCAAUAAGCGGAGGA
rnacentral:misc_RNA from 1 species